rnacentral:rRNA from 1 species
UACGUAGGGUGCAAGCGUUGUCCGGAAUUAUUGGGCGUAAAGAGCUCGUAGGCGGUCUGUCGCGUCUGCUGUGAAAUCUCGAGGCUCAACUUCGAGCUGUCGGUGGAAACUGUCUGGCUAGAGUCCGGAAGAGGAGAAUGGAAUUCCUGGUGUAGCGGUGAAAUGCGCAGAUAUCAGGAAGAACACCCGUGGCGAAGGCGGUUCUCUGGGACGGUACUGACGCUGAGACGCGAAAGCGUGGGGAGCGAACAGG